GAUCCUGGCUCAGAAUCAACGCUGGCGGCGUGCCUAACACAUGCAAGUCGAACGUGAAAGGGACUUCGGUCCCGAGUAAAGUGGCAAACGGGUGAGUAACGCGUGGGUGAUCUGCCUUUGAGUGGGGGAUAACCUUCCGAAAGGGGGGCUAAUACCGCAUGACAUCCUGUUCUUGGAUGAACGGUGAUCGAAGCUGGGGACCGCAAGGCCCGGCGCUUGAAGAGGAGCCCGCGUCCGAUUAGCUAGUUGGUGGGGUAACGGCCUACCAAGGCGACGAUCGGUAGCCGGCCUGAGAGGGCGGACGGCCACACUGGGACUGAGACACGGCCCAGACUCCUACGGGAGGCAGCAGUGGGGAAUUGUUCGCAAUGGGCGCAAGCCUGACGACGCAACGCCGCGUGGGGGAUGAAGGUCUUCGGAUUGUAAACCCCUGUUGGGUGGGACGAACAUCUUCGUGGUGAACAGCCAUGUUGACUGACGGUACCACCUGAGGAAGCCCCGGCUAACUCUGUGCCAGCAGCCGCGGUAAUACAGAGGGGGCAAGCGUUGUUCGGAAUUACUGGGCGUAAAGGGCGCGUAGGCGGCCUGUUAAGUCGGACGUGAAAUCCCUCGGCUCAACCGGGGAACUGCGUCUGAUACUGGCGGGCUUGAAUUCGGGAGAGGGAUGUGGAAUUCCAGGUGUAGCGGUGA
rnacentral:rRNA from 1 species